UUGUGACCGUUGUAACGGCUAUUC
rnacentral:miRNA from 1 species